ACCUAAUGAUGUGGAUAUUUAUGGAGGAUGUCCCUAAAUUGCUCCCAAGUAUCAAAGAAAAGUUCCCCAUCCAUUUGUAAAAAACUUGUGAUAGCUCUCUAAAGCU